rnacentral:rRNA from 1 species
UACGUAGGGGGCUAGCGUUGUCCGGAUUUAUUGGGCGUAAAGGGCGUGUAGGCGGCCUUACAGGUCAGCUGUGAAAACUCGAGGCUCAACCUCGAGAGGGCGGUUGAAACCGUAUGGCUAGAGUCCGGAAGAGGAGAGUGGAAUUCCUGGUGUAGCGGUGAAAUGCGCAGAUAUCAGGAAGAACACCUAUGGCGAAGGCAGCUCUCUGGGACGGUACUGACGCUGAGACGCGAAAGCGUGGGGAGCGAACAGG